rnacentral:lncRNA from 1 species
ACGGCGGCGCUGUCCAAAAGCUCCAAGAUCUUCAACGAAGUCCCUUCUUUACCAACUCCGAAGCCCUCGCUCAUCCUCCUCGUGACAAAAUGGCCGUCAACUUCAUCAUUCCUGAGGUCAGUUCUUCGCGCCAUCCCUUGUACCUUUUCUCGCACCCCUGUUCAUUCGCAAUCUUACUGAGCAUUUUCUUUUUCUUUCUUUGCAUUUUUCUUUUCCACUAGGAAUUAGCCAACAAAAUUGUCAUCCCCACCGAUCAGCCACACCUUCAAUGCCU